CUCGUGCCACUAUCUUGGCAAGGACUACAAAGAGGGGGAGAAAUGGGCCGACGGGUGCAACUACAACUGCACAUGCGUCCAAGGUGCAGCGAAAUGCGUAAAAAUGACCUGCCCGCAGUGGAACUACCCUCCAGCCUGUGCGUUCAACAAGGCGGUAGGCGAGUGUUGCCCCUCUCCCAAAUGUCCGCCUAACGUGCAGGCCUAUCAGAUCCUCGCAGGUCGUCGUUAAACCCCGCCCGACGCUCACUCCGCCAUUCUGAGCGCUUCAACAUGACUAUAAACAUCUUGCAAUAGUGUUAAUUCUUGGAUUAUGUCAUGAUAUGAUGCGACAUAAACUGAUUUCUACAAGAAUUUCUUUUAAUUUUUAUGUAGUAUUGAAAUGUUUCUUGGUGCCCUUAGCAUUCCCAACACCACCAUGCCCCACAUUAAAAAACAUUGCUUUAUAUGUA